rnacentral:rRNA from 1 species
UGGGUGAUCUGUGCUUGCACUCUGGGAUAAGCCUGGGAAACUGGGUCUAAUACCGGAUAUGACCACUGAUCGCAUGGUUGGUGGUGGAAAGAUUUAUCGGUGUGAGAUGGGCCCGCGGCCUAUCAGCUUGUUGGUGGGGUAAUGGCCUACCAAGGCGACGACGGGUAGCCGGCCUGAGAGGGCGACCGGCCACACUGGGACUGAGACACGGCCCAGACUCCUACGGGAGGCAGCAGUGGGGAAUAUUGCACAAUGGGCGAAAGCCUGAUGCAGCGACGCCGCGUGAGGGAUGACGGCCUUCGGGUUGUAAACCUCUUUCGACAGGGACGAAGCGAGAGUGACGGUACCUGUAGAAGAAGCACCGGCCAACUACGUGCCAGCAGCCGCGGUAAUACGUAGGGUGCGAGCGUUGUCCGGAAUUACUGGGCGUAAAGAGCUUGUAGGCGGUUCGUCGCGUCGAUCGUGAAAACUUGCAGCUCAACUGUGAGCUUGCGGUCGAUACGGGCGGACUAGAGUACUGCAGGGGAGACUGGAAUUCCUGGUGUAGCGGUGAAAUGCGCAGAUAUCAGGAGGAACACCGGUGGCGAAGGCGGGUCUCUGGGCAGUAACUGACGCUGAGAAGCGAAAGCGUGGGUAGCGAACAGGAUUAGAUACCCUGGUAGUCCACGCCGUAAACGGUGGGCGCUAGGUGUGGGUUUCCUUCCACGGGAUCCGUGCCGUA